GCACUGAUGAGGAGUUCAAUAAUAGGACGAAAUGGCCAUCUAGUGC
rnacentral:hammerhead_ribozyme from 1 species